rnacentral:rRNA from 1 species
UACAGAGGUGGCAAGCGUUGUUCGGAAUUACUGGGCGUAAAGGGCGCGUAGGCGGUUCGUUAAGUCCUGUGUGAAAUCUCCCGGCUCAACUGGGGAACUGCACAGGAAACUAGCGGGCUUGAGUUCGGGAGAGGGAAGCGGAAUUCCGGGUGUAGCGGUGAAAUGCGUAGAUAUCCGGAGGAACACCGGUGGCGAAGGCGGCUUCCUGGACCGACACUGACGCUGAGGCGCGAAAGCUAGGGGAGCAAACGGG